UUGGUUUGUAGGACAGCAGUCGAUGCUGCAUAGCUGGAUAAAGUUGUUUUCAUCUUUGGACUGACUACCAUUUUGGUACAAUAUGAUCUCAGGACGAAUCAAUGUUAAUGAAGCUCUGUGGCUGUGCACACCUUCCCCUGUAGCUAUGUUUCAGCUUUAGGUAGAAACCAAAGUGUGGAGAUUUCAAUAGUUUGGUGCAAUGUUCUAGCAACAAUAUUAUCUGCAGAAUUUGGGGGUCAAGCCAGAAAACUGAUGCAGACAACAGAAUUCUGAAUGACCAAGAAAAGAAAAGGAUCAAAACAAGGGAAGGUGGCAGAGUGGAUGUGUGUCAGUUUGUUAAUCUAUUGGCCAAGGAAAGGAGCAUGGAAAACAGCUGUUGCCUUGCAUAUGAAAUACAGAGAGAACUGUGUGGUAUUCCAUUCAUGAUAGAUGCAAAUAAUAACACUGAGGAAGAGAAAACAAAAGAAGAGAGACCUGGCAGACAUGGACUACAUUCAGAGGACAACUGAGAUAUCAAUGCUGAACACUGACCAAGAUUUUCUGCAAAGCAGGUCAAGGAGCAAGCGGGAAGCAAGGCAAGUCGGAAUUGAGCAUUUCCACACAUCUGAAACAUUCUUUUGUUCCGAAGCUUUUUAAAGUUACUUGCUUCAUAGACAAUCUUUUACUUAAAGGGUAACUCUACUAUUUCAGAAAAUAAAAGUCUUGCAAUCAGAGAAUAAAAGUCAGUUAUUUUUAAGCUAUUUAAUUUUAGAAGCAGUUUUCUAGGACUUCAGCUUAUGCUUUCUCUUGAUGGUACACUGUUCCAAUCCAUUUCU